CUUUAAGGGGGAGCCGGAGCAAGCCUCUGCUGCUGCUGUUUCAUUUCGGGGGGAACACGCAGUCAAGCUGAAUGUUAAAUGUGCCCGUGAUGAUUACUAAUAAUGUUUAAUUCUCAGUAUGGAUCCUUCUCCGGAGCUGUGUGAAGAUUGCCUAGUGAUGCCCACAGUACUGUAAAUUCUACAAAACAUAAGUACAACGUGGACAUGAUCAAUUGGCUACUGUGAUUGAGGUGUUCUGUGACAGUCCCUUUAAUGAGAAAUUAACAAAAUGGAUUAAUAACAGGACAUUCAGGACCUGACGCUCUGCUUGGUAUGUCAUUACAAAAAUCAUCAAGGAGGGCUAUGCCUGAUAAAUGAGGGUGCUAUAAAUGUGGGCAACAGGGACAUGUACAAAAAUUGUCCAGAAGUCAAAAAUCAAAAUAAGGCUCUUCCUGGGAUUUGCUUCCAGUGCUAAAAGGGAAGGCAUUGAGACAAUAAAUGUCACUCCAAAACUGAUAAAGAAGGUAAUUCAUUAAAAAACAGAGUUCAGGAAACUGGAAGCGGGGCCAGCCUCAGGCCCUCCCUACAGGGAUCAGUGGACCAUUUUGCUAUAGUAUCAUUAAAGCAAUGGAGCCAUGUUUAUUGCAACAUUCCGUUAAUCUAUGCUCCUUUACCAUCUUUCCUGUAAAUAAUUUUAGUGUGCACUACAAGGCUUGCAGCGUAUUUCUUGUGGAUUAAACUAAAAGUAACUAAGUCUGUGCACAGCAGACAGCUGAAAAGUAAUUUACUGUCACAAAUUGGCGUAGUUGGCAGGAUCUGCAAGUAUGCAAAGCAAUGCCUUUCUUUAAAAGAAAAACUGAAGUUGCAUGUGUAACCUGUGAUGUUCCUGGCUGGAAAGACCUUCAGUUCGCCUCUUUGGUGAAGGAAUGGGCUCUCUGCUCAGAAUCGAGUGAGAAUUGGGAUGGCAAGUUACAGAGUGCACAGCCUCCACAAGUUAUUGAGGUUUUGCUAUCAGUGCCGGUGGAAAAGGGGGGGGAGAAGAGAAAGGUUUGAGCAAGUUACAGAAGGUGUGAGAAAGUCGCAAAAUGUUAUGGAAAGAAGAAAUCUUUGGUUAUUUUCUUUGACAUAAAAUCAAAAUCUGAUCCUCUGUUAAAGCAAUGAGUUAAAGUAAUCUAUUAUGUUCUCUUGAUGUCUCUGUUAAAUUCUAACUGCUUAAAAACAGCUGUAAAAAGAGCAGUGGUGAAAUGGAGGGAUCCUAUCACCAAUCAAUGGAAUGGACCUGAUCCAGUACUGGUAUGGGACAAGGCUCCUAAGGGAUGGGUUUUUUCUAUGUAACCAACAUGCCUUUCUGCAAUUGCUCCUGGGCCAUGUGGCCCUGAUGCUAACAUCUG
rnacentral:lncRNA from 1 species